GGCAGGCAGAUCCAAUUUUCUGCCACCGAAUACAUUAGCAUGGGAUAAUGGAAUAGGACCCUGUCCUCCUAUUUUCAGUUGGUUUUGGCAGCGCGAGGACUAGGGUAAUGAUUAAUAGGGAUAGUUGGGGGCAUUAAUAUUUAAUUGUCAGAGGUGAAAUUCUUGGAUUUAUGAAAGAUUAACUUCUGCGAAAGCAUCUGCCAAGGAUGUUUUCAUUAAUCAAGAACGAAAGUUAGGGGAUCGAAGACGAUCAGAUACCGUCGUAGUCUUAACCAUAAACGAUGCCGACCAGCGAUUAGGAGACGUUGAAUACAAAACACCACCAUCGGUGCGGUCGUCCUUGGCGUCUCGGUUUCGGCCGGGGCGCGGGGAUGGCUUAGCCCGGUGGCACCGGUGAA
rnacentral:rRNA from 1 species